rnacentral:lncRNA from 1 species
UGAACUAAUGGGCUGGAUCCGCCCCUGUUUGUGGGUACAGGUUCCACUUGAGAUCAUGCUUUCUGGGAUAAAGGUUAAGUGUACAGUCAGAUUAACUAUAGAGAUUGUAAUGGAGUUAUCUGGUAUUUCUUGCUUUAGUAGUCAAACAUGCUAUCUUAAUUUAUUUUAUUUAUUUACUUAUCCAAAACAAGAAGAAGAAGAAGAAAUUCCUUGAUUACUACUUUUCAAAAAAUAAAUUAAAAAUCCUUGAUCUCAAUCAUAUUAGUCAGCAUAUUAUGGAUGUGCAGGCGAGUGAACAACGGUAGCUUCAGUUGCAACUUGUUACCUUCAGUGUGUAUAGUGUGGAACUUGAGAAUAAUAGUAAUAAGAUAUUGUUAUGACAGUUGGAAAUAUCCUUGUGAGUUAUUUGCUCUAAUUUUUUGAUCUCCUGCUUUCUCUUCAUUUAACUCAACAGGCUUUUUAGUACUCGUGAUGAAAUAAUAGUAAAUGCUUCAGCAGCUUUCCUAACUUCGGGACGGCAGAGCUUCUAAAGAAGUGUAUGAAAUCAAGACAUUUCUUGGAUCUCAAGAAGACAUGAUCUUAUCUCUCUAAUAUGAUUUUCCCAACAAAAUCCUACCUUAUGAACCAUUUGGCCAUCAUGGAGAGUGCAAUUUUAUAUGCUCUUCUUGCUUGAGGUGGUGUUGGUGGACUUGGUAGAAGCAUCUUCUUAUUUGUAGUGUUUGUUGCAAGUAGUUUGAUGAUGGUUAUGUUUUGCCAAUGUCAUAUGUAUGUUACAACACCUCAUCAUGAUGUAACAUCUGGUUUCCAGUUUUUUUUAUUCUCCCUCAAGCUCAUGAAAGUUGUGUCCCUUUCAUAGUUGAUUUAGAAUUUGUUGUUGUAUCUCCAUCCUAAUUGCUCACACCUCCUACUUUUACUUUUAGUUUUACAAAAUUUGAUUUUCAAUUUGCCUUGCACAGCUUCAAAUCAUUGUUACUUCUAUUCUCAUUUACCCAUUUGUU